GAGGGUAUAGCUCAAGCUGUAGCGCACAUGCUUCACAUGCAUGAGGUCCUGGGUUCAGUCCCUUGUACCUCCU
rnacentral:tRNA from 1 species